UUGGACGUGGUGUAGUGCAGCACGGCCUCUCUUCCUAAUGUUGCUGAAAAUGUGCGAAUUUAUAGAGACAAACCCGGGUUCGACUCCCGGUGUCCGAA